UUGAGAUUUGGUAUAUUGUCUUCGGUGUAGCCUUUAAGUCUAUCAUCGGGCUGUGGAUUGGAGGCUUGGAAAGACAAAACUGGUAUCCAACAUGAAAUAUGAUACUAAGCUUCUGCCAGAACGUACCUGCCAUCUGUAUUCUUCCAUUGACUUUAAUGGCUUAUGCAAGGUCUGAGGUGGUGUAAAAUAAUGGCUUAAUCGACCUUUAUAAAUAUAGUGGUUUUCAGGUGACAGUGAUAUAGCAUGCCAGUGCCUGAUGCUGAUGUCCUAUCUCUCAGCCAUCCACAUCACUAAGCAGAACAUCAAUAAAAGGUUUGGGAAAAAUGUGCCAAAAAUCAACUGGAUAAAAAUGGAGGCUUGAAGCCAAGCUCAACUAAAAGUUACUUUAUAGAGUCAAGUUGUACAAGAAAGUUUAUUUUAAAAGUAACAGUCACCACCAUAGAACAGAUUCGUUGCUGGGAUAAAGUUAUAGUAAUUUCAUUACUUAUUGUUCUGUUCAGUCAAUCUAAAAUCCCCAUGUAGAUUGUAAGCUCUCCGGGGCAGGGACCUCCUUCCUACUGUGUCUCGA